AAGUCAUAACAAGGUUUCCGUAGGUGAACCUGCGGAAGGAUCAUUAACGUAUCCAACGUUAAACAACCCUGUGAACUUUCAGACGCUCUUGUAGCCCAGGAGGAACAGCAAUCCCGGUAAAUCAAUGGCGGAAAAGUUUUGAUUCGGGACCUCUGUCCAAAAGGUAUCAAGUUACAAUCGAGCUAGGAGCAGUGGCAUGCGGCAGACAUGUCACAGGGCUUUACGCCCCUUCAUUCACCCCUUGCCUAAUCAAGCCCCGCGGAAACGCCGGGCAAAAAAAUCUGAACAACUGUUCACAAUGGAUAUCUUGGUUCUC
rnacentral:misc_RNA from 1 species